GACAAACGCUGGCGGCGUGCUUAACACAUGCAAGUCGAACGGUCACUCUACGGAGUGAUAGUGGCGGACGGGUGAGUAACACGUAGUCAACCUACCCUAAAGUGGGGGAAUAACCCCUCGAAGAGGAGCUAAUACCGCAUACGCUCUCUGGUGAUAGCUAGAGAGGAAACGAUAGCAGUGACACGCUAUGGGCUUUAGGAUGGGACGUGCGGCGGAUUAGCUAGAUGGGGGGUAAGUGGCCUACCAUGGCGACGAUCCGUAGCUGGUCUGAGAGGACGACCAGCCACACUGGGACUGAGACACGGCCCAGACUCCUACGGGAGGCAGCAGUGAGGAAUAUUCCACAAUGGGCGCAAGCCUGAUGGAGCGACGCCGCGUGGGGGAAGGAA
rnacentral:rRNA from 1 species